rnacentral:rRNA from 1 species
AUUGAACGCUGGCGGCAGGCCUAACACAUGCAAGUCGAACGGUAACAGGAAGCAGCUUGCUGCUUUGCUGACGAGUGGCGGACGGGUGAGUAAUGUCUGGGAAACUGCCUGAUGGAGGGGGAUAACUACUGGAAACGGUAGCUAAUACCGCAUAACGUCGCAAGACCAAAGAGGGGGACCUUCGGGCCUCUUGCCACCGGAUGUGCCCAGAUGGGAUUAGCUAGUAGGUGGGGUAAAGGCUCACCUAGGCGACGAUCCCUAGCUGGUCUGAGAGGAUGACCAGCCACACUGGAACUGAGACACGGUCCAGACUCCUACGGGAGGCAGCAGUGGGGAAUAUUGCACAAUGGGCGCAAGCCUGAUGCAGCCAUGCCGCGUGUAUGAAGAAGGCCUUCGGGUUGUAAAGUACUUUCAGCGGGGAGGAAGGGAGUAAAGUUAAUACCUUUGCUCAUUGACGUUACCCGCAGAAGAAGCACCGGCUAACUCCGUG